GCUGCUUACUAUGCGCAUCAGAGCAGAUUGUACUGAGAGUGCACCAUAUGCGUGUGAAAUACCGCACAGAUGCGUAAGGAGAAAUACCGCAUCAGGCGCCAUUCGCCAUUCAGGCUGCGCAACUGUUGGGAAGGGCGAUCGGUGCGGGCCUCUUCGCUAUUACGCCAGCUGGCGAAAGGGGGAUGUGCUGCAAGGCGAUUAAGUUGGGUAACGCCAGGGUUUUCCCAGUCACGACGUUGUAAAACGACGGCCAGUGCCAAGCUUGCAUGCCUGCAGGUCGACGAUUUUAGCAUGGAAUAAUGGAAUAGGACUUUAGUCUUAUUUUGCUGGUUUUCGAGAUUAAAGUAAUGAUUAAGAGGAACAGACGGGGGCAUUCGUAUUGUUGCGUUAGAGGUGAAAUUCUUGGAUCGCAGCAAGACGGACAACUGCGAAAGCAUUUGCCAAGAAUGUUUUCAUUAAUCAAGGACGAUAGUUAGAGGUUCGAAGGCGAUCAGAUACCGCCCUAGUUCUAACCGUAAACGAUGCCAACUAGCGAUCUGUCGGUGUUAAAAUUUGACUCGACAGGCAGCUUCCGGGAAACCAAAGUUUUCUGGUUCCGGGGGAAGUAUGGUUGCAAAGCUUAAACUUAAAGGAAUUGACGGAAGGGCACCACCAGGAGUGGAGCCUGCGGCUUAAUUUGACUCAACACGGGGAAUCUCACCCGGCCAGGACACGAUAAGGAUUGACAGAUUGAUAGCUCUUUCUUGAUUUUGUGGGUGGUGGUGCAUGGCCGUUCUUAGUUGGUGGAGCGAUUUGUCUGGUUAAUUCCGAUAACGAACGAGACUCCAGCCUAUUAAAUAGACGCAAUAUUUUUUGUAUAGCGAGCUUCUUAGAGGGACAAGCAGCUUCUUAGCUGCACGAGAUUGAGCAAUAACAGGUCUGUGAUGCCCUUAGAUGUCCGGGGCUGC
rnacentral:rRNA from 1 species